rnacentral:tRNA from 1 species
GCAUUCGUAGUUCAGUAGUAGAAUUCUUGCAUUUUAUGCUGGAGACCCAGGUUCCAUUCCCAGUCAAUGCA